CCUACGGGUGGCAGCAGUGAGGAAUAUUGGUCAAUGGCCGUAAGGCUGAACCAGCCAAGUAGCGUGAGGGAAGACUGCCCUAUGGGUUGUAAACCUCUUUUAUGCGGGGAGAAAGGUGGCCACGUGUGGAUGUUUGCAGGUACCGCAUGAAUAAGGACCGGCUAAUUCCGUGCCAGCAGCCGCGGUAAUACGGAAGGUCCGGGCGUUAUCCGGAUUUAUUGGGGUUAAAGGGAGCGUAGGCCGGUCUUGAAGCGUGCCGUGAAAUUUUGUGGCUCAACCCUGAGAGGGCGGCGCGAACUGGCGUCCUUGCGUGCGCGGCAGCCAGGCGGACUUCGUGGUGUAGCGGUCA
rnacentral:rRNA from 1 species